AUGGCUAGCGAUAUACAUAACUUGGAUGACACUGAUGAUGAUUACUAUGCUUUUGCUGAAGAUUAUUCUCUAGUGUCACAGUCGCAAUUUCAUGAUGGAUGUUUUGAUUCCCUAAAUGUUGGUGGUGGCGAUCCUCAGUUUGACGUCGAGACUUUCCUACAUAACCUUCGCCACAUGUUUUAUUCAUCUAAAAGGGAUGGCGGUUCUGAACCUAAUGAAGUUGUAAGUUUCAUUUUCCAUGAGUACUUUAUGUUUUUGAAGUUUUUACGCCACAUGAUUUUUUUUGCAUUUUUUCCACCUGCUUGUUAUUUCUUUGUUAGCGUGGUCAACUACCUCCUAAGCGAGCCACUAGCAGAUGUAAUCACCAUUAUUUUACUAAGCUUCUCAAGAAAAUACCUCCUCCAAGGAAGGAUGUUGUUACAGAUUAUGGUUUUAACUUUCUGCUUGAUUUUGAAUGCACAUUUGUCCCGAGAGGGUUUGCCCAGUGGGUAGCUAAUCGUGUCAACACUCCCACUGGUGACAUUGUCUUGAGUGAAGGUGUUAUUCCUAUGAGCCCAGAGUCUUUCCAUCUUUUGUUCGGUCUCCCUUUAGGUGGUAGGAAAGUCCUAUUUGAUAGUGAUAGUACCAAGGCUGCCUUUCUGAAUAUCAUUGGUGAACCAUCAUUGCCUUCAAUCAAGUGGUUUGGAACAAGGCUGUUAAAACCAGAUAUUUCUAAUGAUGAAUUCAUGAGGUGAUUUCUCCUUGUCGCUUUUGCAACUGUUCUCUGUCCAAAUUCAAACAUAUACCCUACUGCAAAAUAUCUGGGAAUCUUGAUCGAACCUUCUGAGGCUGGGCAUUUUGAUUUGUCAAAGUUUGUAUUUGAUUGGUUUGUGGCAUAUAUUCGCAAGUUCCAGAAAGAACCCAAGAAACCAGGUAAAGAAGAUGGUUUCACUACUUUGGGGGGAUGCAUUUAUGUGCUGGCUGUAAGUUUUCCUGCUCACUUUUUUUGUCAUUGUUGUUGUUGACAUUCUAAUCCAAUGUGCUUAUUUCUUUUAUGUGUUUUCAUACUUUCAGUGUUAUUACUUGGAUUUCCUUGAUUUCAGAUUGCGACGAGUGCCUGCUGGUUUGCCCAGGGUCAAGGCAUGGAAGAAUUCUUUAGUUAAAGAAUUUGCAAAUCUUGAUUGCAAAGGACCAAGGGAAUAUGGGUUGCGCCACGUAAAGAAAAUUUCUGGAACUUUAUAUUCCAUGGGUUGUGUUGGAUGCUAUGAAGAGCACUUGGAUUCUUCUCAUGAGUCUGUCAAAUUUAGGAGCCCACUUGACAAGACUGUUGGUGGUUUACUCCCUAGAUCUGUCAAAGAUUAGAUAUCUUUCAUUGCCCGACAGUUUCGUGCAAAUGCUGAUGAAAAGAGUGUUGAUGCAGCUUAGAAUAUGUUGUUUGAUUGUUUGAAUUGUAUUGUUUUAGCUACUACCCCUGAUCUAGAUCUUGACGACUCCAAAACAAACUCUACACACAAUCAUAGGAAUAAUCUCGCUGACAAUGAGUCUUCAAUUCUUAAGAGCGA